AGAGAUCCCGUUGUUGAAAAGUUUUGAUUUUAUUUUGUUUGUUUUUAUCUACAGAAGUUUCCCAUCUAAAAAAACAGAGUUUAGGGUUCCUCGGCGGCCGUCCCCUUUUUAGCGGGCGCGGUGAUCCCGCGAGGCAACGUAUAGGUAUGUUCCACAGGUUUGGAGUUUAAACUCGGUAAUGAUUUCCUUAGGGUGAACCUGCGGAGGGAUCAUUACCGAGUUUACAACUCCCAAACCCCUGUGAACAUACCUAUACGUUGCCUCGGCGGAUCAGCCCGCGCCCCGUAAAAAGGGACGGCCCGCCCGAGGACCCCUAAACUCUGUUUUUAGUGGAACUUCUGAGUAAAACAAACAAAUAAAUCAAAACUUUCAACAACGGAUCUCUUGGUUCUGGCAUCGAUGAAGAACGCAGCAAAAUGCGAUAAGUAAUGUGAAUUGCAGAAUUCAGUGAAUCAUCGAAUCUUUGAACGCACAUUGCGCCCGCCAGUAUUCUGGCGGGCAUGCCUGUUCGAGCGUCAUUUCAACCCUCAAGCUCAGCUUGGUGUUGGGACUCGCGGUAACCCGCGUUCCCCAAAUCGAUUGGCGGUCACGUCGAGCUUCCAUAGCGUAGUAAUCAUACACCUCGUUACUGGUAAUCGUCGCGGCCACGCCGUAAAACCCCAACUUCUGAAUGUUGACCUCGGAUCAGGUAGGAAUACCCGCAGAACU
rnacentral:rRNA from 1 species